rnacentral:lncRNA from 1 species
UGCGAAAAGAAACAAAAGCCCGAUAUCGGGGUGUCACAAGUCACAAGCAUCUACUAAGGACUAUCCGACAACAACUACGACUAUUACAGUCUGGAAAACACUAAUAUAGUCUAAGGAAGAUAAGAGGGAGAAGAGCAGGGCUGCGAUCUCCAUGUAUCUACCUUGCCAACUCCGAAUAUCCGUGGCGGAUGGAAGGGUCAGCGCUUGCUAUCACGUCCAGAAACCCCUGGAUCUGCACACAAGGUGCAUGGAGCAAUGUGAGUACGCCAAAUCAGUAAGUAACAAGGGUAAAUAAAGACUGAGCAGUAAGAGACACAUAAAUCCACGUCAUGAAAUCUCAGUAAGUACAACAUGCUUUCAAAUCAGUGUAUAAGUCAAAUAAUCUCUCCUACAGAUUUCAAUAAAAAAAUCAUUUGAAGAUAUUUUUCAACAGUUUCAACAGAGGUUCAAUAAAAUUUAGAGUAAAAGUAAUAAAAAUCAUUAAUAGUCCUCGGGCAAAACAUAUAUCAUCAACCGCCCCUCGGGCAUAAUAUCACUCAGAAUCAGCCCCUCGAGCAACCUCACAAUCACUCGUAAUUACCCCUCGGGCACAACAUGAAUCAAGAACAACCCCUAGGGAACAUCAUAUCACUCACUCAGGGUACCUGCGCUCACUAGGGGUGUAAAGACUCCGGAGGGGCUCCUAUAGCCCAAGCGUUGUAACAAGCCACCUCGUGGUGUAAAUCAAUCGAGCCCUCGGCCUCUCAUAAUCACAAAUCAGUAACAUCAUGUUGCGGUGCGCAUCCCGAUCCCAUAAUAUCCUCACAACACAUGUCAUCGGCCUUACUCAGUCAGAAACCUCUCAAGCCACUCGAGCUAUCAGUAAAACAGAGUGCUCAGCCCAAAAAUAUCAUUUAUGCAUCAAAACGGAAUAAUAAAUACUGAGUUAUGAAAUCAGUAAAACAUAGCAUGAUCGAGUACAUAUCGUAAAUCAAAACAGUGAGGAAAUAAUAAGAAAAGGCCCCUAAGGGUCCAAACAGCUUAGCGCGAGGCCCAAAUAUGGCAUUCAGCCCAAAUUAUAGAAAUUUUUUCUAAAACACAAAAGUAUCAUAUAGUUUCUAGCCAAAUACACAACUUAAUAGUAGCUACGGGGUGGACCAAGUCACAAUCCCCAACGGUGCACACCACACACUCGUCAACUAGCAUGUGCAUCACCUCAAAAUAGUGAAGCGAUGCGAAAUCCGGGGCUUCAUACCCUCAGAAUAAGAUUUACAAUCAUUAGUUACCUCGAACAGGUAAAAUCCCUAAUCCGCGAUACCGUUGCCUCUGGAAUCGGCCUCCAAACGCCUCGAAUCUAACCAAAAGCAAUACAAUAUGAUCAAUAUAGGCCAGGGGAUCAAUUUCAAACAAAAAACUAACAAUUUAUACCAAAAUUCCGAAAUUCACCGAAACUUAGUCCCUAGGACCACGUCUCAAAAUCCGACAAAAAUCACAAAACUAGAAACUCCUUUCACCCACGAGUUCACACAUACAAGAUUUAUCAAAGUCCGACUCUAUUUGACCCCUCAAAACCUCAAUUAAAACUCUCCAAAACGCAAGCCCUAACCCCUUGAAUUCACUCCAAAUUCCCACUAAUUCCAUGAUUAAACAGUAGGAAAAUCAUCACAAACACAAAUAAUAAAGCCCAAGUAACUUACCCUACUGAUAGUCCUUGAUUCCUCUUGAACAUCACUGCCCAAGCUCAAAACCCGUCUUCAAAAAUGGAGGAAAUAGGCAAAAAUACGUGAAGGAACCCUUUUAUGUAUUCUGCCAAGCAUUUUUCGCAUCUACGGUCCUUAUCCCGCACCUGUGUCCUUGCUUUUGCGAUCUAAUCAACCGCACCUGUGCUUUCCACUUAAACGCCCAGGACCGCAUCUAUGCCCCAAGCACCGCACAUGCUAUCCCACAGAUGCAUCCAACACACUGCACCUACGGUUCUUCUCCUGAUGGUCAACAUCCGUGUCUACAGUCUCCCUUUCGCAUCCGCUACCUCGCACCUGCGGUUCCCAAUCCGCAGGUGCGGAAAUAAUAGAAGCAGCAACUUCAGCUGCACAUUCUCAAUUCCAAACUUUCCGUUAACCCUCCAAAUUCAUCCCGAGGCCCUCGGGACCCCAACCAAAAAUACCAAGAAGUCACAUAUCACCAAUCAAACUUAUUCAAACCUUCAGAACACUCAAAACAACAUCAAAAUGCCAAAUCACCCUCGAAUUCAAGCCUAAGAACUUCCAAACUUCCGAAUUCAGCAAUCUAUGCUGAAACCUAUCAAACCUUAUCCGAAUGACCUAAAAUUUUGCACGCACAUCACAAGUGACAUAACAUACCUACUCCAAUUUUUAGAAUUCCAUUCCGACACCAAUAUCAAGAUUUCCACUACCGACCAGAAAAUGCCAAAUUUCCAAUUUCGCCAAUUCAAGCCUAAUUCUACCACGGACCUCCAAAUUAUAUUUCAAACACGCUCCUAAGUCCAAAAUCCCCUAACAGAGCUAUUUGAACCAUUAGAAUUCAUAUCUGAGAUCUUGUACACAUAAGUCAACAUCUGGUUGACUUUUCCAACAUAAACUUCCAAAUAAGAGACUAAGUGUCUCAUCCAACUCCAAGACCACUCAGAACCCGAACCAACCAACAGAUACGGAGAAAUACAGCUGAAGAACAUAUAGAGAAGAAGAAACGGGGGAAACAAGUCUAUAACCCAUGAAACGACCGACCGGGUCGUUACAUCCUCCCCCUCUUAAAUAAAUGUUCGUCCUCGAACGAGUCAAGAAACAUACCUGAAGCCUCAAACAGGUGUGGAUAUCUGCUCCGUAUCUCCCGUUCAGUCUCCCAAGUAGCCUCCUCUAUGGGCCGACCUCUCCACUGCACUUUCACUGAAGCUAUUUCCUUAUAUCUCAACUUUCGGACCUACCGUUCCAAAAUAGCCACUGGCUCUAUAUUAUAAGUUAAAUUACCGUCUAACUGAACCGUGCUAAAAUCCAAAACAUGAGACGGAUCGCCAAUAUACUUCCGGAGCAUAAAAACAUGAAAAACCGGAUGCACACUUGACAAGCUAGGUGGCAAAACAAGCUCAUAUGCCACCUCGCCAAUCCUCCGAAGCAUCUCAAAAGGCCCAAUGAACCGAUAGCUCAACUUGUCCUUCUUCCCAAAUCUCAUGACACCAUUCAUGGGUGAAACCUUCAGCAGAACCUUCUCUCGAACCAUGUAAGACACAUCACGGACCUUCCUGUCAGCAUAACUCUUUUUCCUCGACUGAGCUGUACGAAGUCGCUUCUGAAUCACCUUCACCUUGUCCAAAGCAUCAUGUACAAAGUCUGUACCAAAAAGCAUGGCCUCGCCCGGCUCAAACCAACCUACUGGAGAUCUACACCGCCUCCCAUAUAAGGCCUUAUAUGGAGCCAUCUGAAUACUCGACUGAUAGCUGUUGUUACAUGCAAACUUUGCGAGCGAUAGAAACUGGUCCCAUGAACCCCCGAAAUCAAUGACACAAGCGCGCAACAUGUCCUCCAAUAUCUACAUAGUGUGCUCGGACAGUCUGUCCAUAUGAGGGUGAAAAAGUUGUGCUCAUCUUAACCUGAGUACCCAACUCUCGCUACACGGCCCUCCAAAACUACGAUGUCAACAGAGUACCUCUAUCUCAAAUGAUCGAAAUUGGAAGACCACGUAGGCGAACAUUCUCUCGAAUAUAAAUCUCAACUAACCGCUCUGAAGAAUAGGUGGUACACAUAGGAAUGAAAUUCGCGGACUUGGUCAGCGGAUCCACAAUCACCUAAAUAGCAUCAAACUUCCUCAAAGUCCGUGGGAGUACAACUACAAAAUCUAUGGUGAUCCACUCCCACUUCCACUCUGGAAUAUCCAUCCGCUGAAGCAAGCCAACCGGUCUCUGAUGCUCAUAUUUUAGCUAUUAACAAUUGAGACACCGAGCUACAAACCUCACUAUAUCCUUCUUCAUUCUCCUCCACCAAUAGUGAUGUCUCAAAUCCUGAUACAUCUUCGCGGCACUGGAUGAAUGGAAUACUACGAGCUAUGGGUCUCCUCCAGAAUUAACUCCCGAAGCCCAUCUACAUUAGGCACACAUAUACGGCCCUGCAUCCUCAAUACCCCAUCAUCACAAAUAGUCACAUCUCUAGCAUCGUCAUGCUGAGAUUUGUCCAUGAGGACAAGAAAAUGAGAAUAAUCAUACUGGUGCUCUCUUAUGUGAUCAAACAAGGAAGACCGAGAAACCACACAAGCUAAGCUCUGACUGGGCUUCGAAAUAUCCAACCUCGCGAGACGAUUGGCCAAGGUUUGAACAUCAACUGCAAGAGGCCUCCCCCCAAUAGGAAUAAAUGCAAAAGUUCCCAUACUCACCACCUUCCUACUCAAGGCAUCGACCACCACAUUGGCCUUUCCCGGAUGGGAGAAAAUAGUAAUAUCAUAAUCCUUUACCAGCUCCAACCAUCUCUAUUACCUCAAAUUGAGAUCCUUCUGAUUGAACAAGUGAUAGAGGCUACGAUGGUCAGUAAACACCUCACAAGACACACCAUAGAGAUAAUGCCUCCAAAUCUUCAACGAGUGAACAAUGGCAGCUAACUCCAAAUCAUGAACAAGGUAGUUCUUCUCAUGGGGCUUCAACUGACGAGAAGAAUAAGAAAUCACUCUACCCUCUUGCAUCAACACACACCCAAUACCAACUCUAGAAGCAUCACAAUAUAUUGUAUAUGAACCUGAAGCUAAUGGAAAAACUAACACUGGAGUUGUGGUCAAGGCAAUUUUGAGCUUCUGAAAGCUCGCCUNNNNNNNNNNNNNNNNNNNNNNNNNNNNNNNNNNNNNNNNNNNNNNNNNNNNNNNNNNNNNNNNNNNNNNNNNNNNNNNNNNNNNNNNNNNNNNNNNNNNNNGAAAAUCCCUAAACGAAUCGACAGUAAUAACCCGCCAAACCAAGGAAGAUGCGAAUCUCUAUGGCUGAGGACGGUCUGGGCCAACUCUGAACCACCUUUAUCUUCUUUGGAUCAACCUGAAUACCCUCACUGGACACCACGUGCCCCAAGAAAGCCACUGAACUGAGCCAAAACUCACACUUGGAGAACUUUGGAUAAAGCUUCUCCCCCCUCAACCACUGCAAUACAACUCUCAAAUGCUCAGCAUGGUCCUUCUAACUACGCAAGUAUACCAGAAUAUCACCAAUAAAUACAAUAACAAACGAGUCCAAAUAAGGCCGAAACAUGUUGUUCAUCAAAUGCAUGAACGUUGCUGGGGCGUUGGUUAGCCCAAAAGACAUCACAAGGAACUCAUAAUGACCUUAUCGAGUUCUGAAAGUUGUCUUAAGAAUGUCUGAGUCCCUAAUCUUCAACUGGUGGUAUCCUGACCUGAGAUCAAUCUUGGAGAACACUCUCGCUCCCUGAAGCUAGUCAAAUAAAUCAUCAAUACGAGGCAAAGGAUACUUGUUCUUGAUUGUAGCUUUGUUCAAAUGUCGGUAAUCAAUGCACAUCCUCAUCGUGCCAUCCUUCUUCCUCGCAAAUAGGAUAGGUGCUCCCCAAGGUGACACACUAGGUCAAAUAAACCCCUUAUCAAGGAGUUCCUGAAGCUGCUCCUUCAACUCCUUUAAUGCCGCCGGUGCCAUACGAUACAGUGGAAUAGAAAUGGGCUGAGAAAUCAAUACCAAAGUCAAUAUCCCUAUCUGAUGGCAUACCCGGUAGGUUUGUAGGAAACACAUUAGAAAAAUCCCUCACUACCGAAACUGAAUCAAUGGUAGGAGCCACUGCACUCAUAUCCCUCAUGAAGGCCAAAUAAGAAAUACAACCCUUCCCAACCAUCCGCUGGGCCUAAAAAUGAAAUUACUCUACUAGGAACACAAUUCGUCGAACCUUGCCACUCAAUAUGUGGCACCCCUGGCAUAGCUAACGUCAUUGUCUUAGCAUGACAGUCUAAAAUAGCACGACAUGGAGACAACCAAUCCAUGCCCAAUAUCACAUCGCAAUCAACCAUACAAAGAAACAGAAGGUCCACUCGGGUCUCCAAACCCCAAUAGUCACCAUACACGACCGAUAUAUGCAAUCCACAACAUUAGUAUUGCCCAUCGAGUAGAUAUGCAAACAGAUGAAACAAGAGACUCACGGGGCGUAUCCAAAUAACGAGCAAAAUAUUAUGACACAUAUGAAAAAGUGGAACUAGGAUCAAAUAAUACAGAGGCAUCUCUGUGGAAAUCUGAGACAAUACCUAUGAUCAUAGCAUCUGAAGCACUAACAUCUGGUCUGACUGGGAGUGCAGAGAAAUGGGCCUGACCACCACCGGAUCGACCUCCCCCUCUAGGGCAACCCCAGCUGACUAUCCUCCACCCCUAGCUGACUGGGUGGGUGGUGAAGUAACUGGUGCUAAAGUCGAUGGCUCACUCCUCUACCGAGGCGGACCCCAUGACGAUGAGGACACUGCCUCCACAUAUGCCCCAACUCUCCACACUCAUAACAACCCCCUAGUGCUGGAGACGGAGACUGAAAGGAACCCCUAGCACCGGAAUGACUGGUAGAAGAACUUGGCAUGGAUGAGCCCUGAACUGACGGAGCACGGGACGAACUCUGGGCUGGAAGGUAACUAAGUGAUGAAUGGCCCUGAUGAGAACUAUAAGAACCAUGGCCCGAUGAUGCCCAACGAUGAACUGGGUGAGCUGAAUGAUCAUGUUCGAAUGAACGGCCUCUGUCAUGCUGAAACUGACCCCCAUGAGGAGAACCACUAAAUCCACCUUGUCCACGAGGCUUCUUAGCCUCCCUCUCAACCCUUUCCUGACCACGAACCAUUUCAAUCUAUCGAGGAAUGUCGACGACCUCAUCAAAAGUGGCUCUAGACACCCUCUCUCUAGUCAUAAGCAACCGAAGCUGAAACCUGAUGCAAGGCCCGUGUAAAUUUCUACUCAAAACCCGAAAGCUCGUAGUGCCAAGUUAGGUAUAUGUGUUAGAGAUUUGUAAACUCGCCGCAGUUCGGACCCUUUGGAUUGAUCUAUGCAUUAAAAAUUUAAGGAACAAUGUUUUCCAUAAAAGUGCAUUUCUGCGGUCUAUUCUGUGAUCGCAGAAUAGCUUUGCGGACUGCAUAGUUGCCGCAGAGUCAGACAGUCUGAUGGUUAAUUUGAGGUCAACUAUGUGUCCAAUUAUGCGAUCGCAUAAUUAAUAUGCGGGCCGCAUAGUCAUCAUAUAAUCCCCUUGAAAUUUCUGUGAGGGGCAGUUCUGCAGUGCAUUAUGCUACCGCAGAACAGGUGUGCGGGCCGUAUUUCUAUCGCAUAUCGGGGCAGUUUGUUCAGGUUUUUAGGGCCAUCUUUGUAGUCCAUUCUGCGGGCCGCAUGUCCAUUAUGCAAUCGCAUAUGCGAUCACAGAUCGUGUCGGGGCACCUAUUUUCUAACUUUUAAAAUCCGACCCCCAUCCCAGUAAAAACACCCCAUUAGACCCCUUUAAAGAUAUUCUUCUACAAAAGAGUGAGAGGGGAAUUUCUAGAGAGAGCGUGAGAUCUUCAUCAAAUCCCCACUCAAUUCUUGCCUAAACUCUUGAAGAUUAUAAUAUAAAAUUUGAUAGGCCUUCACCCCGGUCAUACCUCUUUUUUACACACCCCAAGGGUAAUAUAAGAUAGUUUUUCCACUUUAAAUGAUAUUAUUCGAAAUGGAAUUAUUUAUUUAAUUCAUUAGAGUUGCCACUUGGAAUAUUUUAAUUGGUGUCCCAAGUCACCGGUUUAUUUUUAAAUCCCAAAUCGAGGAAAUUCGACUUUCCUUUUAAAGUCUGUGAACCAGAAAUUCUAAGUAAAGAAUUCUGUUUACCCGGGAGAAGGUAUUAGGUAUUCUCGAGUUUCGUGGUUCUAGCACGGUCGCUUAAACUAUUAAAAUUGGCCUAUUAUCCGAUUUAUUACAUGUUUUAAUCUAUUGUGAAUUUUUAGCUUAUUAAUCGCUUUUAAUUAUUUUAAAACUCUUGUAGGAAGACUCAACGUUAUUGAAAACAUGCCUUGAAUCAUGCCACAUGAAAUGCACCCGCGGUUCGUGACACGUUCUACUUGACAUUGUUAAGAAUUGAUUGGGUCACAUGAAAUGUGCACUCGAGUUUAAUAAAUAAAAGAAAAUCAAUUUAAAUAGCGCGCCUAAAGCAACUACGAAAUUUCAAAUUAAUAACAGGGUUUGCGAGGGCAAUGGAAGAUUCAAUUGAUGGCACGCCUUGAUUUUUAGAAGAGUUAGUAUUAAUUGUCUGAGGGCCAUGGGUUAUCUAAUUUUGCUUAUGGCACACCUCAAGUCUAAAAGGUAAUAGGCAUCUUUAGAGGCAAUCUAGAACUAAUUAUUACACGGUUAAAGCAAUCUACCAUUAUUCAAGCUUAUUUAAUACAAAAUUAAUAAUUUACAUGAGGGCCAUGAGUGAUAUGGUGAAAAUGGCAUACCCCAAUUUAACCAAAAGAAUUACUUUAACUUAAGAUUUAAAGCCAUAUUCAUAUAACUACUGAAGUUACGCUAGGCUUUCAUGCGUUUGGGCCAGGCCUGCUAUAGGCAAAACUUGGCAGUAGUAGUUAAAUGAGAUGAUGGGCUCGAAAAUCAGGCCCAAGCACCAUAGAGCAUACAAAUUCCCAUUUACAGGUGACCCCAAGUUUGAGCCCAAAGUAGACCCCAAUGACAGUCCAAUACAAACAUAUGACAGAAGGAUUCAAACCCCCAAAUGAAAUCAAAAUGGCAAACCUAAAGUCUAAAUACAAACUCAAUACAAAUUUUAAUAUUCAUGGCACGAGUAAAUAAAAUGAGUGAUGUGAUGAAACAUGAAUUGAUAUAGAACUAAGACAAGUUUCAGUAAUACAAAUGGGCAAUCAGCCAAACUAGAGUCUACAUCUCCAACAAUGCUUCCGAUUCAAACUUCAUAUAUUGAUAAAAAUCCAAAGAGGUGGUUACAGCAAAGACAACAAAUAAAAUGAUCCUGAGAUUAGGAGGAAAGCAGCAGCAGUGUAUCAGCAAUAAGUAGCACAACCCACAGUCAAGUUUUACACCAUUUUGCACCCAGAUUAACACAGUUCUUUCGAGUUUUUAGGAGAAUCUGACUAACAAUGGAGGUCAAAGUGCAAAACCAAGCAAAUUUCCAAACAAAUUUUAGUAUUUUUUUCAAAGUCUAAAAUGCUCAGUCGUUUCUGAAAAUUUUAGGGUUCUAAACUCUAAAUUCUCUCCCUUGAAAAGAAAGAAAACAAGUCUCUUAUAGAAGACCUCUAGGGCAGCAGAAUUGGUUUCAGGUUUUUACCAAUUACCCCUUCUUCAAUUUUCAAUUUGUUCAUUUUUAACCAAGAAUUUUAAAACCAACUUCUGAAACUACCCAACCCUCUCUUUCCUGGAAGUUUCCUAUUCAGUUAUAAGAGAUUCCCUCUAGUUGGAAUGACCAAAAUAACCCUUAACACCCCUACAUUUACUUGCCAACUACUGAACCAAAACUCAAAGGAAAAUUUCGGGCCACUUCUUCCCCAACAAAGAUGGGCCAAAUAACCCAAAAGGCCCAAACAAGAAUUUUCAAAAUGAAACUGACUAAACAACAUCAUUUAAAAAUGCACUGUGACUGACUUUCAAACCAAACCAUGCUAAAAUGCAUCAAUCAAUUAAAACAAAUAACAAUAUGAAAACAGCAGGCCUGAUGAUUGCUCUAAUCUUUAAAGAAUUUAGCCUAAUCAAACAAACUAGACAAUUAACCUAUGGAACACAUGAUAAACCAAAAAAUAUUCGGUGCGCAAAGAUUAAAUAUUGAAGAGAAGAGUCAAAAAAACAAAGAAAAAAUACACAAAGAAAACAAGGAUAAAAGAAACAUGAGUAAACCUGAUUAGAGGAAAGUGGAAGAAAAGGUAAAAAAACGUAGAAGAAAAGAAAAAAUAAAAAAGAUAGGCAAAAGGGAAAAAUAAAAAGAAAAUACCUAAUACUUGACUCUCAGAAGCUCCGGCCAUUCCGAUUUGAGCUCAAAAUUUAUGUCAACUGUGUAUUCUUGUCAAGAACAAAUGGGCAAUGUCAGUUUCGUGCAAAAUAGAACCUUUUAGCUUUGCAUGCCCUAGAUUCCGGGUUAGGGUGGAUUUGGGCUUUUAGGGCUUCGACCUUAGAUCUAAAAUUCAAACAAAUGGAGAGGGAUUCGAUGAAAGUUGUUUUAAUAUUUAGGAAGAGGAGAGGCCACGGAUCAUGGGGUGUAAUUUUGAGGUGGAUUGGGGGUUGCGCCGCCGGCGGAUGGCUUGGGAAUUUCAGGGCAGCGGAUUUAGGGUUCAUGGAGUUUCUUUGAGUGAGAAGAUGAGUGAGUGGGUAGAUUGGGGGGG